ACACUCCUACGGGAGGCAGCAGUGGGGAAUAUUGCACAAUGGGCGCAAGCCUGAUGCAGCCAUGCCGCGUGUAUGAAGAAGGCCUUCGGGUUGUAAAGUACUUUCAGCGGGGAGGAAGGCGAUAAGGUUAAUAACCUUGUCGAUUGACGUUACCCGCAGAAGAAGCACCGGCUAACUCCGUGCCCGCAGCCGCGGUAAUACGGAGGGUGCAAGCGUUAAUCGGAAUUACUGGGCGUAAAGCGCACGCAGGCGGUCUGUCAAGUCGGAUGUGAAAUCCCCAGGCUCAACCUGGGAACUGCAUUCGAAACUGGCAGGCUAGAGUCUUGUAGAGGGGGGUAGAAUUCCAGGUGUAGCGGUGAAAUGCGUAGAGAUCUGGAGGAAUACCGGUGGCGAAGGCGGCCCCCUGGACAAAGACUGACGCUCAGGUGCGAAAGCGUGGGGAGCAAACAGGAUUAGAAACCCGGGUAGUCCCAUGA
rnacentral:rRNA from 1 species